rnacentral:rRNA from 1 species
CCUACUUUCUUCCUCCUUUUUUCCUCUUUCCCCCUUUUGUCCCCCCUGCUGCCGCGACGCCGCGUGAGUGAAGAAGUAUUUCGGUAUGUAAAGCUCUAUCAGCAGGGAAGAAGAUGACGGUACCUGACUAAGAAGCCCCGGCUAACUACGUGCCAGCAGCCGCGGUAAUACGUAGGGGGCAAGCGUUAUCCGGAUUUACUGGGUGUAAAGGGAGCGUAGACGGCGAUGCAAGCCAGAUGUGAAAGCCCGGGGCUCAACCCCGGGACUGCAUUUGGAACUGUGUGGCUGGAGUGUCGGAGAGGCAGGCGGAAUUCCUAGUGUAGCGGUGAAAUGCGUAGAUAUUAGGAGGAACACCAGUGGCGAAGGCGGCCUGCUGGACGAUGACUGACGUUGAGGCUCGAAAGCGUGGGGAGCAAACAGGAUUAGAUACCCCUGUAGUC